AAAGAAAGAGAGAGAGAGAGAGAGAGAGAGAGAGAGAGACAGAAAGAGAGAAAGAGAAAGAGAAAGAGAGAGAGAGAGAGAGAGAAAAUUUUACCUUGUAGUCGACAUUAACAUAUCUUUAACUCGUUCGUUUGAAGGCACCAUAACGUUCGAUCGAUAACGCCUUGAAUAGAUAUUUCUUGUUCUUUCUUUCUUUCUUUCUUUCUUUCUUUUUUCUUUUCUUUUUUCUUUGUCUUUCUUUUUCUCUCUCAUUUUUUUCAAAGAUCUUCGUCCACGCAAAAAUUUCAAAAAUCUCAAUCGCGUUUCUCGAUCGAACGAAACGUGCCGAUCGUCGAAGUAGGAGCCAAUGUGUGUAUAGAUCCAAAAAAUUAAACACAUAGGUGACCCUCGCCCAAAGUCAGUCUACAUAUCAGACUCUUAGUUAGCGCCAAGAUUCCCUUCCCCUCUCGUUCCCGUAUAUUAUAUAUAAUUAUACAAUUAUUAUAUAAUUAUUAUAAAUUAUUAUAAUUAAUUAGGAACCGAUCGAUUUGAAUCCCUCGCUCGAUCGGAGAGAGAGAGAGAUUUUGGGAAGAAGAAAGAAUGAUUAUACUUCCAAACAAAACGGAAUAAUAUCCGUUAUUACGUGUCUUCCCUAAAAAAAAAAAAAAAAAAAAAAAAAAAGUAAAGAAAAAAUCCGAGAUCUUUCAUGCUUCUGAUCUCUUCUUCUUUUUCUUUUUUUUUUUUUGAGUUUUUUUUCUUUUUCUUUUCCUUUAUAUUUUCCACUUCCUCCUCGUCUACAUCCUCAUCCUCUUCUUCCAUCUUAUCUCUAAACUAAUCCUAACCCUUUAUCACUUCCACGUCUUCUCGAUAUAAUAACGUCCUAGAGGUACUAGCUCGAAUAUUUAAAUUGUCAGCUACUAUUAAUAAUUACUAAUUGCUAUUAUCACUAACUCUUAACUAUUUACCAUCCUACCAAUUAAAACUAUUAAUCUCUAUAAUUAAUAAUACCGUUUAAUUAUUGCGAGACUUGACUGCAUCCCCUAACCUCUCACCAUUAACAUUAUCAUCAUUACUAUCAUCAUCAUCAUUACCACUACUACUACUACCACCACCACCACCACCACCACCAUCACCAUCAUCAUCACCAUUUUACCAUUACGACUAUCACAACCACUAUCAAUCCCUGUUCCUCACUGAUACGACACACAAAACACAUCAGAAACACGCAGCUGAAGUCCGCGAAGUCUUUUGAAAUCGCCCGCCAUUUUCUUACGUCUCUUUGCCGAAGUCAAAAUGGCGGACACGCUUCGGUAUGCGAAAUGGCGAAAUGGCUUUUUGUCAAAGCCACGUUGAAUAGUUUCGAGAAAAUUGUUUAAGACGUAGAUAUGUAUACGUUGUACGUACGUAUCGUGUGAUAUUCGUAAAGAAAAGAUAGAAAAAGAGAGAGAGAGAGAGAGAGAGAGAGAGAGAGAGAGAGAGAGAGAGAGAAUGUGUGAAAGAUAUCAGGGACGGCGUUUUAAACAUAUACGUACACGUAAGAAAACCACACACACAUACACACGGGAAAUAAAAAGCUAAAAGAAAGAAAGAAAAAACAUAAAAAGAAAGAAAGAAAGAAAGAAAGAAAGAAAAAUAGGACACAGGACGGAUCGAACGACGAGUCUAGCGGCAGACUUUCGUAUAAAGCGAAUUAAUAAUUUUUAUGCCGUGUUUUAUCAUUAAUCACUUGAACGUAAUUACGAUAAAUAAAGUGCUACUGAUAAUAUUAUCUCAACGUUGUCAAAGAUUAAAAAAAAAAUAAUAAAAUAAUAAUAUUAAUAAUAAUAAUAAUAAUAAUAAUAAUAAUAAUAAUAAUAAUAAUAAUAAUAAUAAUAACAAUAACAACAACAAUAACAAUCACGAAAGAACGAUCGAUGGUAUUAACGGUAACAAGAUAAAAGUGAAAAUAAUAAUAAUAAUAUACGAUGUUGUUAAUUCCGGCUUAAUCAACUAACAGGUGUUACAUUAAUUGUUAUUAUCUCGUGACAAGGAACGUACAUGCAAUUUAUCAUUUUCGUUAUCCUCGUGCUGUUAUUCGCUUAAUUCGCGCUUUCGGAAAAGAAAGAACCAAAGGGAAGAAAAAAAAGAGAAAAACGACGAAAUAACGUGAGAUGAAAAAACAACAAGCGCGUCUUCUUCUCGCGACAAAGAAAAAAGAGAAAAGAAGAAGAAAAACAAAAAAAAAAAAAACAAAUAAAUAAAUAAAUAAAUAAAAAAUAUCAUUCGUACUGUGUUCGUUACACGUCUCAACGUAUCGCCAAUUCAAGAAGGAAAAUCUUUCGAUCGUCCUCUAUAUGCGCGAGUAUUUCCAACUUUCUACAAUUUCUCCAUUAAGGAAAGAGAGAGAGAGAGAGAGAGAGAUAUUCGGGAUAUGAAAGAAAAACAAACAAAAAAUAAAUAAAUAAAAGGAGAAAAAAGAUAGAUAAAAACGAGAUGAGAAGGAGGAGGAUGACUAUCAUCACAUUGAAGUGAAUUUAAAGUUAAUGACAGAUCAAAAUGCGAUUAUAGUGAACGUUUUCUGAAAUUGAUACAUGUAUAUGUGUACAUAUACAUAUAUAUAUAUAUAUAUAUAUAUAUAUAUAUAUAUGUAUGUAUGUAUAUAUGUAUAUAUGUAGACAUGUGAUCUUAUAGCAGAUGACCGACUGCAUUGUUGUUGAUAACCAAUAAUGCAAGAAAAAUACGUCGAGAAAUGAGAAAGAAUUAAACGUUACUUAUCUUUACGUGCCGAAUAUAUGCGUUUAUGAAAUUACGCGGGAAAAAUGCGAGCGCACUCCGUCGUGUGUGUGUAUGAUAUAACAUUUAAAAAACGAGGAACCAGGUUGCAUUCAAAAAAAAAGAGAGAGAGAGAGAACGAAAAGAGGAAAGAUAAAAAAAAACAGAAAUAAAGAGAAGAAGCUAUAAGAUUAAUUAAACGGACUAGGAAUCGAUUCUAUCAGCUGUACACUUUGAAUAUUCUCACACGCACUCACGAUCUUGAAUAAAGAAAAAAAAAA